rnacentral:tRNA from 1 species
CAUGGUCUAGUGGUUAUGACGCUUGACUUUGAAUCAAGAGACCAGGGUUCGAAUCCCUGU